UUUCCGUAGGUGAGCCUGCGGAAGGAUCAUUAUCGAGUUUUGACUGUGUUGUAGCUGACCUGCCGAGGCAUGUGCACGUCCUUCUCAUCCACUCUACACCUGUGCACUGACUGUGGGUAUCAGAUCUUGAAGCGUGAUCUUUUCCCGGACCUUGUGACGCGCGUCUGUGCCUGCGUUUAUCAUAAACACUAUAAAGUAUCAGAAUGUGUAUUACGUUGUAACGCAUCUAUAUACAACUUUCAGCAACGGAUCUCUUGGUUCUG
rnacentral:misc_RNA from 1 species